rnacentral:rRNA from 1 species
GUGUCAGCCGCCGCGGUAAUACGGAGGGUGCAAGCGUUAUCCGGAUUCAUUGGGUUUAAAGGGUGCGCAGGCGGAUACUUAAGUCAGUGGUGAAAUCCCGGGGCUCAACCCCGGAACUGCCAUUGAUACUGAAUAUCUGGAAUACGGUUGAAGUGGGCGGAAUGUAGCAUGUAGCGGUGAAAUGCAUAGAGAUGCUACAGAACACCGAUCGCGGAGGCAGCUCACUAAGCCGAUAUUGACGCUCAGGCACGAAAGCGUGGGGAGCGAACAGGAUUAGAUACCCUGGUAGUCCACGCCGUAAACGAUGAUAACUCGUUGUUGGCGACACACAGUCAGCGACUAAGCGAAAGCGAUAAGUUAUCCACCUGGGGAGUACGAUCGCAAGGUUGAAACUCAAAUGAAUUGGCGG